GGAUAUGGUGUAAAUUAGGUUUCAGGUGAAGACACCUGGGUGUGGCUAAAGGACAAGAAGACCCCGUUGAGCUUUAGUUUGAUGUCGCAUUUGGGCGGGAGUGAGCUUUGGCUGGGGCGGCAAAUGUCCAUCUAGAGCGACUAAAGGUUGUGAGGCAUUUUGUCGAGUGGGGAGAUUGUGUGAACAAAGAAAGCUACCACGGGGGUAACAGGCUAAUCCAUUUGGAGAGUACACAUUGAUGAAUGGGUUUGGCACCUCGAUGUUGGCUCAGGGUUUCCCACAGGCGCAGGUGUUUGUGAAGGUAGGUAUGUUCGCCCUUUAAUGCCCU
rnacentral:rRNA from 1 species